rnacentral:rRNA from 1 species
AUGAACGCUAGCUACAGGCUUAACACAUGCAAGUCGAGGGGCAGCAUGGUCUUAGCUUGCUAAGGCCGAUGGCGACCGGCGCACGGGUGAGUAACACGUAUCCAACCUGCCGUCUACUCUUGGACAGCCUUCUGAAAGGAAGAUUAAUACAAGAUGGCAUCAUGAGUCCGCAUGUUCACAUGAUUAAAGGUAUUCCGGUAGACGAUGGGGAUGCGUUCCAUUAGAUAGUAGGCGGGGUAACGGCCCACCUAGUCUUCGAUGGAUAGGGGUUCUGAGAGGAAGGUCCCCCACAUUGGAACUGAGACACGGUCCAAACUCCUACGGGAGGCAGCAGUGAGGAAUAUUGGUCAAUGGGCGAGAGCCUGAACCAGCCAAGUAGCGUGAAGGAUGACUGCCCUAUGGGUUGUAAACUUCUUUUAUAAAGGAAUAAAGUCGGGUAUGGAUACCCGUUUGCAUGUACUUUAUGAAUAAGGAUCGGCUAACUCCGUGCCAGCAGCCGCGGUAAUACGGAGGAUCCGAGCGUUAUCCGGAUUUAUUGGGUUUAAAGGGAGCGUAGAUGGAUGUUUAAGUCAGUUGUGAAAGUUUGCGGCUCAACCGUAAAAUUGCAGUUGAUACUGGAUAUCUUGAGUGCAGUUGAGGCAGGCGGAAUUCGUGGUGUAGCGGUGAAAUGCUUAGAUAUCACGAAGAACUCCGAUUGCGAAGGCAGCCUGCUAAGCUGCAACUGACAUUGAGGCUCGAAAGUGUGGGUAUCAAACAGGAUUAGAUACCCUGGUAGUCCACACGGUAAACGAUGAAUACUCGCUGUUUGCGAUAUACUGCAAGCGGCCAAGCGAAAGCGUUAAGUAUUCCACCUGGGGAGUACGCCGGCAACGGUGAAACUCAAAGGAAUUGACGGGGGCCCGCACAAGCGGAGGAACAUGUGGUUUAAUUCGAUGAUACGCGAGGAACCUUACCCGGGCUUAAAUUGCAGGUGAAUUACGGUGAAAGCCGUAAGCCGCAAGGCAUCUGUGAAGGUGCUGCAUGGUUGUCGUCAGCUCGUGCCGUGAGGUGUCGGCUUAAGUGCCAUAACGAGCGCAACCCUUGUUGUCAGUUACUAACAGGUUCCGCUGAGGACUCUGACAAGACUGCCAUCGUAAGAUGUGAGGAAGGUGGGGAUGACGUCAAAUCAGCACGGCCCUUACGUCCGGGGCUACACACGUGUUACAAUGGGGGGUACAGAGGGCCGCUACCACGCGAGUGGAUGCCAAUCCCCAAAACCUCUCUCAGUUCGGACUGGAGUCUGCAACCCGACUCCACGAAGCUGGAUUCGCUAGUAAUCGCGCAUCAGCCACGGCGCGGUGAAUACGUUCCCGGGCCUUGUACACACCGCCCGUCAAGCCAUGGGAGCCGGGGGUACCUGAAGUGCGUAACCGCGAGGAGCGCCCUAGGGUAAAACUGGUGACUGGGGCU